AUACGGAGGAUGCAAGCGUUAUCCGGCUUUAUUGGGUUUAAAGGGUGCGUAGGCGGGACUGUAAGUCAGGGGUGAAAUACUGCAGCUUAACUGUAGCAUUGCCUUUGCAAAUGCCGUUCUUGAGUACAGUUGAGGUAGGCGGAAUGUGGGGUUUAGCGGGUAAAUGCAUAGAUAUACCACAGAACGCCGAUUGCGAAGGCAGCUUACUAAGCUGUUACUGACGUUGAGGCACGAAAGCGUGGGGAUCAAACAGGAUUAGAUACCCUGGUAGUCCACGCUGUAAACGAUGAUUACUGGUUGUUAGCGAUAUAUAGCUAGUGACUGAGCGAAAGCAUUAAGUAAUCCACCUGGGGAGUACGUCGGCAACGAUGAAACUUAAAGGAAUUGACGGGG
rnacentral:rRNA from 1 species